rnacentral:misc_RNA from 1 species
GAUGAAGAACGCAGCGAAAUGCGAUAAGUAAUGUGAAUUGCAGAAUUCAGUGAAUCAUCGAAUCUUUGAACGCAUCUUGCGCUCCUUGGUAUUCCGAGGAGCAUGCCUGUUUGAGUGUCGUGAAUACUCUCAACUUCAACCCUUUUUUCGGAAAGGGAGGAAGGUUGGACUUGGGUGUUUGUUGAAGUGCGAGCUUCGACUCAUCCUAAAUGCAUUAGCGAUCUGCCUCGAUCACACACAAUGUGAUAAUUAAAACUAAAGCAUUGUUUAAUGAUCAAGUCGAGACUGCUUCUAACUGUCGCAAGACAAUAACGUGCAUACAUUUGUGCAUGUCAUUUGACCUCAAAUCAGGUAGGACUACCCGCUGAACUUAAGCAUAUCAAUAAGCGGAGGA